CCUACGGGAGGCAGCAGUGAGGAAUAUUGGUCAAUGGGCGGAAGCCUGAACCAGCCAAGUCGCGUGAGGGAUGAAGGUUCUAUGGAUCGUAAACCUCUUUUAUAAGGGAAUAAAGUGCGGGACGUGACCCGUGUUGUAUGUACCUUAUGAAUAAGGAUCGGCUAACUCCGUGCCAGCAGCCGCGGUAAUACGGAGGAUCCGAGCGUUAUCCGGAUUUAUUGGGUUUAAAGGGUGCGUAGGCGGCCUGUUAAGUCAGCGGUGAAAGUCUGUGGCGCAACCCUGGAAUUGCCGUUGAAACUGGGAUGCUUGAGUAUGUUAGAGGCAGGCGGAAUGCGUGGUGUAGCGGUGAAAUGCUUAGAUAUCACGCAGAACCCCGAUUGCGAAGGCAGCCUGCCAAGCCAUGACUGACGCUGAUGCACGAAAGCGUGGGGAUCAAACAGGAUUAGAUACCCGAGUAGUC
rnacentral:rRNA from 1 species